rnacentral:tRNA from 2 species
UCCAUAUAGCUCAGCUGGGAGAGCGCCUGCCUUGCACGCAGGAGGUCAGCGGUUCGAUCCCGCUUGGCUCCA